UACGAAGGGGGCUAGCGUUGUUCGGAAUUACUGGGCGUAAAGCGCACGUAGGCGGACUACUAAGUCAGGGGUGAAAUCCCGGGGCUCAACCCCGGAACUGCCUUUGAUACUGAGAGUCUCGAGUCCGGAAGAGGUGAGUGGAAUUCCGAGUGUAGAGGUGAAAUUCGUAGAUAUCAAGCAGAACACCUGCGGCGAAGGCGGCCUUCUGGACGAUGACUGACGCUGAGACACGAAAGCGUGGGGAGCAAACAGG
rnacentral:rRNA from 1 species